rnacentral:rRNA from 1 species
CAAUAGCGUAUAUUAAAGUUGUUGCAGUUAAAAAGCUCGUAGUUGGAUUUCGGGGCAGCCUGGCUGGUCCGCCGCAAGGCGAGUACUGGUCAGCCGCCCUUCCUCUCGAAAGCCCCGACUGCUCUUUAUUGCAGUGGUCGGGUAGUUCGGGACGUUUACUUUGAAAAAAUUAGAGUGUUCAAGGCAGGCCUACGCCUGAAUGCAUUAGCAUGGAGUAAUGGAAGAGGACCUCGGUCCUAUUUUGUUGGUUUCCAGGACCGAAGUAAUGAUUAAGAGGGACAGUUGGGGGCAUUCGUAUUUAAUUGUCAGAGGUGAAAUUCUCGGAUUUAUGAAAGACGAACAACUGCGAAAGCAUUUGCCAAGGAUGUUUUCAUUAA